GUCUAUGGCCACGCCCCCUGAACAAGCCUGAUCCUGAUUCGGAAGCUAAGCGGGGUCAGGCUUGGUUAGUACUUGGAAGGGAGACCACCUAGGGAGACCAGGUGCUGUAGGUG
rnacentral:rRNA from 1 species